rnacentral:lncRNA from 1 species
UCCAGUCCAUGGGCCUCUAACUUCCAAUCCUGUGGGCAAAUAAAGCUGUCCAGCACAACCUGCGACUAUCAGAUUCAGGCCGUAUUUAUGGGGGUGGGGUCUGGCCUCAUAUCCUUCAUCUUUAUGCUGCUCUGCUCCAGCUCACAGCCCCUCCAGUCGGAUGGAACUCUUUGAAGGGAGGGGCAUUUCAGAGUAGGGUCCCAGGGAUAGCCCGUUUGUGGGGCUGGGCCACCAGGUUGGGGAGAGUGGAGCUGCUGGAACUCUGGAGGCACUGGCUGAGCCAGCUUUCCUAGCGCACCCCUCUGGGAGGGCAGACUCUGGGUGUAGGCUGCCCAUCUCCUUGCUCCCCUCUAGCCCUGCUUCUAUGCCCCCUUGGUUAGCCUGGGAGCCCAUCCUACCCAGUCUUGGGGUCAAUAAGCAGAGGACCUGGACCUGUAAGGAGUCCUUGAUGAGACGUACAGCCCUGCCCAACUCUGCACAAGAUGACCCAUGGGCUCCUGAGAGCAGGGAUUGUGACUUACUCAUCUUUGAUGUAGCCAAGUUCCAACAAACCUAAAUGUGCAGGCUCUGUUCUCACUCGUGGCUGAUGGGCAAAGGCCGCUACGGA